GACCUGGCCAGCCAGCGGCGAACGCUGGACCGAGACGCAGGGGCCGUCAAUGUGGAAGGGGGGUCCCGGCACAGUCCCCGGAAGGGGAGGCGAUGCCCAGGUCUUCUGAACCAACCGCCGAGGGAGGUGCCACAUUUACCCGAUAGUACCUAGCAAAGGAGCAAGAGCAAACAGGUCCACCUGCGCCCUCCCGAACAUGUCCCACAGGUGCUGCACCACCUGGGGAUGUAGGCUCCAGUCCCAAGGUGGCGGGCCCUCCCUCAAGAGCGUAUCCACUGCCACAUUCAGGAUGCCAGAUAUGUGCGCUGUGCAUAGAGACGCUAGACGUCCCUGAGCCCAGAGAAGGAGCUCCCGUGCCAUAAGAUGGAGACAGUAGGACCUCAGUCCACCCUGAUGGUUGAUAUUGGAGAUUGGAAUGUGUCUCUAUAGUGCCUGGAUGCAGGUUGGGAGCAUGUCUCCUGUCGGACAGGACCUGGGUCCUGGUUGGGGCACAAAUCAGCCAAUCGUCCAGGCGUUGGCCCCCUGCUGAGUGGUUUGACUGAUGGUCCAACAGCCUCAGUGUUUC
ensembl:lncRNA